UGUAUUCUCCUUUUCAUGACAGCCAAAUAAGGACACAUCCAAGCAAAAAAACAGUAGAGAGAUUAGCUAUCAAAGCUCAGUCUCUCUGUCUUUUAUCCCCCAAAAACAAGAACCCCAGCUUCAACCUUUACCAUUUCCCAAUGCCUCCUACUCUACCCUUUUACCAUUGUACUGUUUCGAGUUCAAGAAUCUAAAAAUUAACAGUCCCAUGGUUGAAGAUUACACACAAAAGCCAAAAAUCUCAAGAAGCGAGCGACUUGGAUUCUCUUGGAAACCGAGCAGCUGAGUGCUAAUUAUAAACACCCACAGGACGGAAGGUUCGUGUUCUUCAUUUGUUGUUCUAAAAAUGAUUUGGAAUUUGGAAUUUGGAACAGUGUUUUAGAUUCACAAUCACAUGGUGCCAAAUUCUAAUGGUAAUUUAUUGAUCGAGUGAAUCCAAGAGAAACCAGGAAAUGUACCCAUGAUAGAAGCGAAGGUCAACAGUUUGUCUGUAGCAGGAAGGAAGUUUUUGAGGGCCCAACUCAGAACUUUUGGAUUUUGGCUGGAAUUGUCACGGGAAAUUGUUCCAGACCUUCAAUUCUCUGCAACAGAGAUAAAUUUUCAUCUCUCUUGUUUAUUGUUUCAGUGCAUUCUGCUCUUCAUGAGAUCGCCAUGUCCAAAAGCUGCAUGCUUACUGCUUCUUCUUCUUCUCCCACUCAAUGCCCACCAUCUGUUUGUGAAAAUGAGCGACUGGACCUGAACUCCAUUAGGGGUCUUGUUGUUUCUAUCAACCAGUAUAUUCAGGAAUUCUUGAGCAAUGCCGAGGUUAGAACUGCUGUUAAAUUGAGAUGCACCUCCAAACUCAGAAACCAGAGACAUGGGUUUUUGGAAUUCUUGGAACAAUCUAUCAUCUCAAAUCUUUACGGGGGUAUUGAGUACAUUGAAGAUGCAGUUCAAACAAGCACCUCCGAAGCGAGGGCCACUAGGCUUCAGACUGCUGAACAAAUGCUUCAGGUCCCAGCAUUGCUUGAUGAGGAUGGUGAGACCUCAGGAAUGGCAAAUCGUUAUUUAGUUUGCUGCUCUUACUUCUAUCUUUCUUUGGUCAAGAAGCUUCAAGGGGAUGAGUGGCAGGUUGCUCUGCACUUCCUUCAAUCUCUGCUGGUUUCUCCAAGAUUGGUUCUCACAGAGUUUGCUCAAGGAUUUUGCUACAAUCUUCUUCUUUCUUUUUCUACAUGUUCGAGGCAAGAAAAUUGUAAAAGUAUGGGGUCCAAUUCUUUUGUAGAAUUUGGCGAGGGUGAUUAUGGUGAAUCAACUAUAAGGCAGGUAGCUCGAAAAUACAAGGACUGGCUCAUGUAUUAUCAGGUUAUGUCGUACGGAGAGACUCAUCAGUGGCAGCAACAAGGAAGCAGGAGUAUGUUAUCUUCUGAAGAUGGAUCACAUUCCUUGCAUGGCACGUUUUCAAGGAUUGAAGCUUCAGAGGCGACUGAUUGUGGGUUCCCGCGGCCAACUCUUUCCCAUUAUGACAUUCUACCACCACUUGAUUAUAUUGAUGUAUUUCAAGAUAAAAGAAAGGCAUCACAGGAUUUUCUACAAUGUGAAGAUACAGCGAAUUCCCCAAAAAAAUUGGGUUUUAUCCCAGAACGUCAAUUUAGUGAAAGGGGAUUCUGGAGAGAUUCUAGUACCAAAUGCAUCGGAGACCUGUUGAAGGAUUCCCAGCCCGGUUCACCAACUUCAUUAUUCUCAUCAAUGAACAAUUCUGAAAGUGACAGUGAUCUUGAGGCAGGCAUGAACGACACUAAUCACUCUAAGAGAACAGCCCGAGCAGACAUGCCAGAAAACUUUUAUCAGAAGCUGCAGUAUGCUUGCUCCAAUACUGACGGAGAGCAGAGUUUGAUAUCUUUGUCCAGUGCUUCUCUAAGUAGGGUUAAGGAACAAUACAAUAAAUCAAACAUGAUGAAAUCCAUUUCAAACAAAUUCAAUGGUUACAAGUCACGUAGCCUAAAACAAAAAAACUUAGAACCUCAAGUCUUCCAAAAUUGUCUCGAAGAAAGUGAACCAAAAGAAUUGUCUGUAGACCCAUGCAAAUUACAGAGUUUUGAUAGUGCUUUACCUUUAUCUCUCGGUCAAGGUUCAGCCUGUCAGAUUAGUAAGCAGAUUAGUGUUAAAGGGCAAUUAUAUCAUGCAAAUAGCAGAAGAGAUUCAAAGAGUGAAAUAUUGGGACUUGUUGAGAAAGCGAUCUCAAGAUUAUGUUUCUCAGAAGGAUUGGGAGACUACAAUGACGAGUGUGCUGUGGAAGUUUCAACGGUUUACAAAAUGUUGAAUAACAAAACGGGAGUACAAUACACCAUGUUAAAGGAUUUAAUAAUGGAUCAAUUGGUGACAGGCAUUUCAACUUCUAAAGAAGAAAAGGUCAUAAGGGCAUCAGUUUCUCUGCUCACAACUAUAAUUUCUGAAAACAAUUCAGUUAUAGAAGAUAUCAAGAAGAAGGGCUUACAGUUGUGUGAUUUAGCAACUGCUCUAAAACAUAAUGUUCAUGAGGCUGCGAUUCUUAUCUACCUCAUUAGUCCAUCCCCAAGGGAAAUCAAGUCCUUAGAGCUUCUACCUGUAUUGGUGGAGAUUAUAUGCACCUCAAAAUGUUAUAAUGCUUGGUCACCAUCACUUGUGCUGACUCCUCCUGCAGCAUCAAUGAUGAUCAUUGAAGUAAUGGUAACAGCAUUUGACGAGGACACGAAUAAGAUGCAUUUGGUAGAAAUCAGCUCACCAAGUGUACUUUGUGGGCUUCUUGAAGUUGCAAGAACCAACAAUGUGGAAGGAUUAGCGUCUCUAGGCAGUAUUCUUGUAAAAUGCAUGCAACUCGAUGGAGAGUGCAGAGGCUAUAUAUCAAAAUUCAUCUCAGUGGCUCCGUUUCUCUGUCUCUUACAAAGUGAUAAGAAGGAAGCAGUACAUAUCGCACUUCAAGUAUUCAAUGAAAUCCUUCGUGUUCCUAGGUCUUCUGCCAUUAGCUUGUUGCAACGGAUUAAGAAUGAAGGGAAAAAUGACAUUAUUCACAUACUAAUGCUCUGUGUCAAUCACUUGGAAACUGAAUAUCAACUUUGGGCAGCAAAUUUAUUGAUUCAAUUACUUGUACUGGACAAUUGCUCCACAACAAGCUUAUUAAAAGAAGAGGCUGUACAGGUCCUUCUCAGGUCAGUGGCAUGCGAAGAAACCUCUGCAAUGCAGCUGUUAUCUGCAUCUAUAUUGUCAACUAUUGGUGGAACGUUUUCUUGGACAGGAGAGCCAUACACAGUUGCAUGGUUGCUUAAAAAAGUUGGUUUGAGUUCUGAUCAUCAGAACAUGAUCAAAUCGUUCAAUUGGUUAGACCAAAGCUUGCAGGAUGCUGGCAUGGACUCAUGGUGCAGUCUGAUGGCCAGAAACAUCAUCUAUAUUGGGGAGUCUGUCUUUCAUGCUUUAGAAAAGGGGUUGAAGAGCAAUAUAAAGAAGGUUUCUAGGGACUGUUUGACGGCAAUUGCAUGGCUUGGAUGUGAGAUUGCAAAGAGUCCAAGUAGCAUUAGAUGUUCUGCUUGUGAGAUUUUACUCAGUGGGAUUGAGCUGUUCUUGCAUCCAGGAGUAGAACUUGAAGAAAGACUUCUGGCAUGUCUCUGCAUCUUUAACUAUACCUCUGGAAAAGGGAUGCAAAAGCUUACUCGUUUCUCUGAAGGAGUUCGUGAGUCACUAAGACGUCUUUCGCAUAUAACUUGGAUGGCAGAAGAGUUGCAUCAAGUAGCAGAUUAUCUUAUGCCCAAUAAUUCAAGAAUUUCAUGCGUGCACACACAAGUUUUAGAGCUGGGUUUCAACAGCAGUGGAGCUGUAUGUGCCCUCAUCUUCUACAAAGGACUUCUUUUCGGUGGAUACUCUGAUGGUUCGAUAAAGGUGUGGAACAUCAAGGGACAAUCGGCAUCACUUCUAUGGGACAUAAAGAAACACAGAAAAGCAGUGACAUGUUUUUCACAUUUUGAAUCUGGGGAGAGUCUUCUAAGCGGAUCUUCCGAUAAAACUAUUCGAGUUUGGAAAAUGAUCCAGGGAAGAUUGGAGUGCAUUGAAGUGAUAGAGUCCAAGGAACAAAUCCAACAUUUAGGGGCAUAUGGACAGAUGAUCUUUGCAAUUACACAUGGCCAUGGGUUGAAGGUGAUCGAUGCAUCAAGAACAACAAAAGUUCUUUUCAAGAGUAAGAAUUUGAAGUGCAUUAAGGUGGUUCAAGCAAGGGUUUAUGCAGGCUGCACCGAUUCCAGCAUACAAGAGUUUUCUGUGACAAACAAAUGGGAACAAGAGAUCAAGCCACCUUCUAAAAGUUGGAUGCUGAUGCACCAGAAGGCUAUCAACUCACUUGCCGUGUAUAAGGACUGGCUUUUUAGUGCUAGCUCAAUGGUUCAAGGCUCAUUAUUUCAGAACUGGAGAAGACACGAAAAGCCCGAAAUUAAUAUUAUAACUGGUAAAGGAGACAUUGUGCAAGCAAUGAGUGUCGUUGAAGAUUUCGUGUACAUAAUCUGUAAAUCUUCAGUGAACAGCAUUCAGUUCCUUCUUGAAAAAGUAGAUAUGGUUGAGAAAGGCACAACACAAAGUGGGGAGAGUUACAGCUGGUAGUAAGAUAACAUGUUUGCUUACAGCCAAUGACAUGGUUCUCUGUGGCACAGAGACGGGCAAAAUUAAGGGCUGGAUCCCCCUCUAGCAAGAAGAUGCAAGUAAUUUUGUGGACUUCCCUUCUGUAGCAGUAUGAUAUAUUUUGUUUGAUUGAUAUAAAAACAGCAUCAAAAGGUGGAGUAUUACAUGUUUAAAGAAGGAACUCUGAGAAUCUUGUUUGCAGCAGCUAGCAGGAACCUUCAGCUUAAGUUCAAACCAUGCAAACACAAGUUCAAUUCAAUCUUCAUCAUCCAUCCAGUUUGUAAAUUGGACUAAAUGUUUGUAUUGAAAUUUUUUUAUUAGUUUGAAUGCCUAUUAUAUGAAAAUGAAAUUGUAUAUGAAGUCAAUUAAAGAAAAUAAGUUAGUUUUGGAAUGGAGAACCUGAUAUGGUUCGUCCUAUUUUACAUGAUCCGAUGAAGUGAAGUUGAAACUUUUGUUCUAAUUUGUAAAUUACUUCUUAAUUACAUACCACGUGCAAUCCACGUUUGUACUA